rnacentral:tRNA from 1 species
CCGAUGUAGCUCAGUUGGCCAGAGCACGUGAUUUGUAAUCUCGGGGUCGGGGGUUCAAAUCCCUCCAUCGG